UGACUAGACCAUCUUGUUUUUUUGGAGAUGUGAGACAGUAUGCUUUUCUUAUACACCAUCUUUUUAAAUGAUUGUCACCCAAGAGGAACCGUCUAUCGUCCUGUCCUGAAGGGAGUUCCUCCUAGGUCUGGUCGGACCUUUGUAUGCACUCACUCUGGGGGAUGUAAGCUGCCUUAUGAGCAGCCCUGUGAAGCAGCACACGUGGUGAGGAACUGAGACGAUCUGACAUCUGUCACAUGAAUGCACAGGGACGCGGAUCCUCAACUCCUGUCAAGCCUUCGGAAGACUAUGCUACAGGCAGACAUAAUGACAACAAUCCUAUGCGAAACCUGAGCCAGACCACCCAGCUAAGCUUCGGAAUACCUGACCCACAGAAACUAUCAGAUAACGCAUGUUUUUUUGUUAUAUUAAAUUAUUGUGAAAAUUUUGUUAACAAUUUUCACCAGAUUUAUGAAAACAUUUGGAUAAUUGACUUGUUGGUUUAUCUUUUCUUCCCUCCAUCCACUGGCUUCUUUUAUAAAUUUUGAUUAUUUUUAAAUUAAUAACUGACUUUUAAUGAGGCUGAUACUUCUUUUACCAGCUGUUGUUUGUGUUAGAAAUAAUUAUCUCUGACUCACAAUGAAUUUUAUGAGCAUC